AUUGAAACACUAGUUCCCGUAUAAAAAUCACUAUGAUCACUAAAGUUAAGCAACACUGAGCCUGGUCAGUACCUAGAUGGGUGACUGCUUUGGAAUGCCAGGUGCUGUAA
rnacentral:rRNA from 1 species